rnacentral:misc_RNA from 1 species
UCCGGUUUGGCACCGGCAGUCUCCCUAGAGUUCCCGGCAUUAUCCGCUGGCAACUAAGGACAGGGGUUGCGCUCGUUGCGCCACUUAAGGCAACACCUCACGGCACGAGCUGACGACAGCCAUGCACCACCUGUGCAGGCUCCGAAGAGCACCCGCUUUCACGGGUUUCACCCUGCAUGUCAAGCCCAGGUAAGGUGGGGAUGACGUUUCUAGGAGGGUG